ACGCAAUAAACGUUUCGCCUUGGGUUUAACGGGUCGGUGUAUAAUGCGUAUGAAUAUACGGAAUAGGCGAACGCGUUUCGCCAAAUCGUUUUGGCCGUUUUUAGACAAACCAUUACUAUAUCGUCAAUUUCGUUGAUAUCCGUAAGUAUAGAUAAUAACGACAGUAAUCUUCUGUUUCGUUUAAAUUUAUUAACUCGGCUAAGGACGAGGUAAUUGACGGUGUCGCGGGCCGUGGCCGUGAAAACAAUACGUAUGCGUAUGAGUUACGAAUUGCGGUUUACGAACAAUUAU